UACGGAGGGUGCGAGCGUUGUCCGGAAUCAUUGGGCGUAAAGGGCGCGUAGGUGGCCCGGUCAGUCUUUGGUGAAAGCGCGGGGCUCAACCCUGCGUCGGCCAGGGAUACUGCCGCGGCUCGAGCACUGUAGAGGCAGGCGGAAUUCCGGGUGUAGCGGUGAAAUGCGUAGAUAUCCGGAGGAACACCGGUGGCGAAGGCGACUCACUGGACGACUGUUGACGCUGAGGUGCGAAAGCGUGGGGAGCAA
rnacentral:rRNA from 1 species